GAACACAUCCCUGCUCAGCUGGAGGAAAGUCAGAGAGCGUCUGAGAAGAGGCUGGGACCUUCAUUUUGCAAACACAUAAGGUGCUCACCGAGGCAGUAUAGUACCUCUGCAUCCCUCAUAGAGAAGGUUUUUUUCUUGUUUUUGUGUCUCCUGAAACACCUGGGGUGAGGAAAAACCUCCGCAUUGGCCAAGCAGAAGAAAGAGCAGGAUCUAUGACUGAGGUGGAUCUGCUAGGAGUGGCUCCUCGCUGCUUAGAGGGAGGCACUUUUCACACUCUGUUUUGGAAUGAGAAGUUAAAUUCACGAGCACACAUGAUUUAGAAGACAUGGGCUGUGGCACUUCGUCUUCAAGGAAAGACAGGAAAUCUG